rnacentral:lncRNA from 1 species
GUAAGACAGUAAUAUGGUUGGCUUAUUAUCCCUGGGUUGGUAGAGUGUCUGCCAUGACUCCACACCCCCAGGGGAGAGCUGGAGGGGAGAUGAAGGCUCAGGUGAGCUUAUAUCUGGUACCAUGAGGUCCAAACAGGAAGUGUUGCAAACAGAAUUGUUGCUGAGUUCUGGCAUUUUGUUAAAAUAGAAGACGGAAGAAACGGAGAUUUGUCAAGGAAUACAAAGGCUCAUUUUCCUAGGUUGAUGUCUGUGCCAGCCUCCUCUCACCCCUUCAAAAAUGACCCAAACUGUCCUGGGAAGGAAUAGCACCAAGAACUGAGGGAUGGGGAGAAACCACGGAAGCAGAUGCCACAAUUAGGUCAUAUGGUGAAGGGCUGGAAGUCAGCGUUGGGAUCAGACCAGUGCAAAGAAUACAAGCAAGACAAAACAAACAAACAAGACAAAAACAAGCAAGAUGAAAGCCCAGUUGACCGGAAUAGUCAAUGAGUGUGAGAGUCUCAGAAUCUUUUAUCCCAUUCAUUUAUUCCUCCUAAAAUUCCUGCUUCAUGAAAGUCCGGGGACUCUAGGAUCCACGUGGAUGCCAUCAACAGUGGAGCGGUGCCUUGUCUGGAUGAUGUGAUGACAACUCUGGCCCUGUGUGAGAACUCAGCAGCCACACCAAAGGUAGCUGACCACUA